CAUGAAGACUGCAAAUAUGCGUGGUCUUCGACAUUUCUAAUCUAUCAAGCAUAUUGCUUACUGGAGAGACAGAUGGCACUUACCGCUGAGAAGAAGGCUGAGAUCGUUACCGAAUUCGGCCGUGGCGAG
rfam:Cobetia sp. TCD-24C scaffold_5, whole genome shotgun sequence.